rnacentral:rRNA from 1 species
UAAAGCGGGAGAACUUU